AUCAGACCACAACAGUUUCACUCCUCCCGCCCACGCGCCAAAUAGGGCAGCCAACAAGGCCUCCGCCGUCGACAUUAUCCGGAUCAUGAAGAAGGCGAUUCCCCGCCAACGCCAAGGAGGCUAAGGAAACGAUGCAGAGCUUCAUCUUCGUGUUAACAGGCUUCUUUACCAGCGAGUGAGUUCGGAUAACUUUCCGUGCCCGAUCCUGCUCCUAUUGAUUAUUUUGGGUUUCCUUCGAUGUUAAUGAUCGACGGUGCAAGGCGAGCGGUAGAUUCUAUAAGGAGAAGAGGAAGACGAUUAAUGGAUUCACCUGCAGGAAUACAGAGUACUACUUCGUUUUGGUUUUCCAAAAACUUCUCUUAAAUGAGAAGUGAAUCCUCAGACGUUUACUGGCUUCGCAUGAACCGUUUGAAGUUCCGGAAACUCCAAGUUAAAGUUCUGAAUUAGAAGCUCACUAAAUCAAGAUAUGAGCGCUGAUUGAUGAGAACGGGAGCUCAUAUCCUGAGUGGGAAGAUUUGCUGCAUCUAUGCUGCCACUAAACAGGCUGGUAAGUUCGAAUUUGGUUAGAUUUCCCCCCAUUGAAC